rnacentral:lncRNA from 1 species
UUUUGAGAGGGUUUUGUGAGACUUAGCAAUUUUUGUUCAAAGUCAGGAUUUGUAUUAGUGAUUUGGGUUUUAUAUAAUAUAAUUAGGGCUAGCAAUUUUGGCUAGUUCAUGCUAUUGGCAUGACAUCUACGGUUGAAAAUUUGAUAUUUUUUGCUAAGUGUAUAAUUUUUUUUGUAAUAAUCUAAUGGCGUAGUUUAGAGAUAUCUAGUUUUUAACACAAGAAGGUUUCAGAAGGUGGCAGUUUGAGGUUGGAUAGGAUUUUUAUGAUAUCUAAAGAUCUAUCAGUCAGAUUAAGGUAAAAAUUGGCAUGGU